rnacentral:rRNA from 1 species
GUGAGGAAUAUUGGACAAUGGAUGGAAAUCUGAUCCAGCCAUGCCGCGUGCAGGAAGACGGCCCUAUGGGUUGUAAACUGCUUUUAUACGGGAGCAAUAAGGUCUAUGCAUAGAUUGAUGAGAGUACCGUAUGAAUAAGCAUCGGCUAACUCCGUGCCAGCAGCCGCGGUAAUACGGAGGAUGCGAGCGUUAUCCGGAUUUAUUGGGUUUAAAGGGUGCGUAGGCGGCUUUGUAAGUCAGCGGUGAAAUUUUGCAGCUUAACUGUAAAAGCGCCGUUGAUACUGUGGAGCUAGGAUUUGGUUGCUGUGGGCGGAAUGUGUGGUGUAGCGGUGAAAUGCAUAGAGAUCACACAGAAUAUCGAUUGCGAAGGCAGCUCACAAAGCCAAUAUUGACGCUGAGGCACGAAAGUGUGGGGAUCAAACAGGAUUAGAUACCCCUGUAGUCC